rnacentral:rRNA from 1 species
AUCGAACGCUGGCGGCAGGCCUAACACAUGCAAGUCGAACGAGUGGCGGACGGGCGAGCAAUGUCUGGGAAACUGGCUGAUGGAGGGGGCUAACUACUGGAAACGGUAGCAAAUACCGCAAACCACCCGAUGUGCCCAGAGUGGAUUAGCUAGUAGGUGGGGUAACGUCUCAGCUUGGCGACGAUCCCUAGCUGGUCUGAGAGGAUGACCGGCCACACUGGAACUGAGACACGGUCCAGACUCCUACGGGAGGCAGCAGUGGGGAAUAUUUCGCAAUGGGCGAAAGCCUGAUGGAGCCAUGCCGCGUGUAUGAAGAAGGCCUUCGGGUUGUAAAGUACUGUCGGCGGGGAGGCGUUACCCACAGAAGAAGCACCGGCUAACUCCGUGCCAGCAGCCGCGGUAAUAC